rnacentral:rRNA from 1 species
UACGUAGGGGGCGAGCGUUGUCCGGAAUUACUGGGCGUAAAGAGAGCGUAGGCGGCACUACAAGUCUCAUGUGAAAUACCCGGGCCUAACUUGGGGGUUGCAUGGGAAACUGUAGAGCUUGAGUACAGGAGAGGCAAGCGGAAUUCCUAGUGUAGCGGUGAAAUGCAUAGAUAUUAGGAGGAGCACCAGUGGCGAAGGCGGCUUGCUGGACCGAAACUGACGCUGAGGCUCGAAAGCGUGGGGAGCAAACAGG